AUGUAUGUCCUUGCUGCUCAUUCACAUACAGCGUUCGCGAUGCCCCCGGACACAGAAUUCCAGUGGAACCACCACGUGUGCGGAUUCAGGGAAGACUCAAAGCAAAUACAAGACAAGGAAACAGAAUUGACCCUGAAUCAGAAGAGCUCUGUGUCCUUCUCUUUGGAUGAACCGAUCCAGAUCCCUUUGGGGAUGUCUUUCUGCGCUUUUCCCCACAGCGUCAGCUUUUGUCACUCAAAGGUGAUAAGCAUCCCAGGGACAGAGUAUUCAAAGCUUUAUCGUGUUAGGGAUUGAAGCGAGGGCAGAGUAAGGAAGUAAAUCCAGGAUGCAGGAGUUUGGGUGGACAUGCCUGGGCGGGUUUGUCUCUACCUACACUUGUAACGAUUAAUAAAGAAAACAAUUUCUGUUUUCCGUAAGUCCUUUAUUCAUUCCAAAACACCUCUGCAUGCCAAACUUGGAGAUCCUAGGCCCAGAGUUAGGGUCAAUCGCUGGCCAUUAUAGGACUCUCAGCUUCAGAAACUCCCAUAGCACACACGUGGCCAUGGUUUCUCAUUAAAAACCCAGGCCGGGUGCGGUGGCUCACACUUGUAAUCCCAACACGUUGGGAGGCUGAGGCAGGUGGAUCAUGAUAUCCGGAGAUCGAGACCAUCCUGGCUGACACCGUGAAACCCCGUCUCUACUAAAAAUACAAAAAAAUUUAGCCCGGUGUGGUGGCGGGCACCUGUAGUCCCAGCUACUCAGGAGGCUGAGGCAGGAGAAUGGCAUGAACCUGGGAGGCGGAGUUUGCAGUGAGCAGAGAUCGCGCCACUGCACUCCAGUCUGGGCAACAGAGGGAGACUCCAUCUCAAAAAAAAAAAAAAAAAAAAAAAAAACCCAAGGCAGAGAAGGAUGGUUAUAUUGUACCAGUGCUGUCCAGGAACUCAUCCUCCCAAGGCUAACCAAACCGAACAGACUCAUUUGUUUCAAACAUUAAUAUAAGCAGGAAAUCUACCACAAAACCUCCUGUCGGAGGGUAGACUAUUUGUAGCUUGCAUCCAGAGAAGAACAUAUGAAUAUUUUUUCUGUCAACAUCCGCCUGCCCUGUAUGUGCUGCUCUGCUUCUCUGGCCUCAGCCCCACACCAAACCUGUUAAGGCAUGAAGCUGAGAGGUCAAGUGUCUCAUAUGGACUAAAUCCCAGAUGUCACUUUCCUUCUCUCAGCCUGCAAGCCACUGAACCGUGCAGGGUGAAGGUUAGACUUAAAGUUCUUGGCGAUGACUCCGUGUUCCUGGGAGCAGCCUCCUUCUCUCCCCAUGUCCCUCUGGCCUGCACAUGCCACCUCUGUUCCCAACCCUGCCCCAUCUUACAACAAUCCCUGCAAAAAUAAAUGAGCAGGAAAGAUUAUUAACUGUUUACCUAUGAACUCUAGCAUGUUCUAAAAGCUGAAUUCUUGUGUCCAACAGCCUAAGGUGAAGCUGGUUGUGUGUAUUUUGUAGAGUAGCAGCUGGAAAUGGGCUUUCUGAUUCUAGAAGAGCCCCAGUGGUUGUAGAUGAAUGUAGCCGAUAUUUCUAGCAAUUUUUCCUAGCCUUUCAUUCUCCCUCCUUCUAAAAACUUCUUAACCAUGGCUUCCAUGUAUAAAAUGACUAAGAUACACCUUCGUUAUUCUUGACCCAGGGCCCCAGGAAAGAGUGUCUGAGGCUUGACACACGUGGGGUUUGCAGCAAAAACAUCACACAGUGAAGUGACAAGUUUAGAGGCAGGGUGAAUCAUUGAGGAUUCCCAUGUUGUGAGGCAUGAGCUGGGCUGUAAUGUUGAGGGACCUGAAGAAGAAGCUAGAGGCACGGGGAAGGAAAGAGGAAGAGGAUUUUGUUACUGAUUGGAUUUAGAGAUUCAAGAAUAAAAAAGAAACCAGUAUGACUCUGAGGGUCUGAGCCUGAGCCAUGGGAGAAUGGAGGAACCAUUGACAGAAGUUGGGAGGGAUAAAAUGGGAUCAGUGCUAGAGCCAUGAGUGCCUGAGAGAAAAAUUCUUGAAUGUCACUAAUUUUACUAAACAUGGAUUUGUCCUACCAGCCAUGGUGGAACCAUACCAUAGUUACCUUCCUAAAAAGAAAUCACGAGCCUUGACCGACCUAAGGCAGUUGUGCUGAGGACUGAAAGAAAACAAAAUAAAAAGUAUUUGUUACCCCCUCCCCUCUUCUCCUGGGCUUAUAAUCAUUGACAGGUUACUACUGCUAUGCAUUUAUAGCUUUUUGGAACAGAGCAAGAUUCUUGGCAACCAUUCAGGGAAGGCCA
ensembl:lncRNA